ensembl:snRNA U2 U2 spliceosomal RNA
AUCGCUUCUCGGCCUUUUGGCUAAGAUGGAAUGUAGUAUCUGUUCUGAUCAGCUUAAUAUCUGACGUGUCCCCUAUGGGGGGACAGUAUAUUAGGUGAGUUUUUGGAGCCAGGAGCUGGACUAGGAGCUUGCUCCUUCCUCUCUGUGCAUCACCCUGGUAUUGCAGUGCUUCCAGGAGCGGUGCCCCCCUG